CCCUUAGAUGUCCUGGGCUGCACGCGCGCUACAAUGGUACACACAAUGAGGGAUCUACUAACCCGAGAGGGUUGGGUAUCUUGUAACGUGUAUCGUGAUGGGGAUAGACCAUUGCAAUUGUUGGUCUUGAACGAGGAAUGCCUAGUAAGCGCGAGUCAUCAACUCGCGCUGAUUACGUCCCUGCCCUUUGUACACACCGCCCGUCGCUCCUGCCAAUGGGUGGAGUGGUGAGAGAAUCGUACUAGCCCUGAAGGUUGAGCUAGGAAUUCAUCUCGAGCCGUUUCAUCUAAAGGAAGGAGAAGUCGUAACA
rnacentral:rRNA from 1 species